rnacentral:tRNA from 1 species
GGGGGUGUGGCAGAGCGGACGAAUGCGCUGGUCUUGAAAACCAGAGGCCGUAAAACGCCCAUAGGUUCGAAUCCUAUCGCCCCCG